GUAUAUCACCCGUGGGUGAUGUAAGACAUCAGCGCUGGAAAAAAUAGACUAAACGACUACUUUCCUCUAAGUUUGUUGGAUAGAAAGGUAGGUGACACUUAGAAAGAAGAGGGGGUGGUACAAGGAACUGGUCUGUCUUUUGAAAGAAAGCAUAGG